rnacentral:misc_RNA from 1 species
GAUGAAGAACGCAGCGAAAUGCGAUAAGUAAUGUGAAUUGCAGAAUUCAGUGAAUCAUCGAAUCUUUGAACGCACAUUGCGCCCCCCAGUAUUCUGGCGGGCAUGCCUGUUCGAGCGUCAUUUCAACCAUCAAGCCCUGCUUGUGUUGGGGUCCUGCGGCUGCCCGCAGGCCCUGAAAACCAGUGGCGGGCUCGCUAGUCACACCGAGCGCAGUAGCACAUCUCGCUCAGGGCGUGCGGCGGGCUCCAGCCGUUAAAGCACCCACCUUUCGCAAGGUUGACCUCGGAGCAGGUAGGAAUUCCCGCUGAACUUAAGCAUAUCAAUAUGCGGAGGA